CAGCCGCCACGGGAAUACGUAGGGUGCGAGCGUUAAUCGGAAUUACUGGGCGUAAAGCGUGCGCAGGCGGAUGAUACAGUCAGGCGUGAAAUUCCUGGGCUCAACCUGGGGACUGCGUUUGAUACGUAUUGUCUAGAGUUUGGAAGAGGGUCGUGGAAUUCCCAGUGUAGAGGUGAAAUUCGUAGAUAUUGGGAAGAACACCGGUGGCGAAGGCGGCGACCUGGUCCUUGACUGACGCUGAGGCGCGAAAGCGUGGGGAGCAAACAGGAUUAGAUACCCCAGUAGUCCCUGUCUCUUAUCC
rnacentral:rRNA from 1 species